UGCUGCUUCAUUGGAUGCUCUACAGGAAUGUAUCAUGAGACACAGCACAAUGCUACAGACAGCAGGCUGUCUCAGGCAUGUGGCUGCUGUAGAAGAAAAGAAAGACGUUGUGGCAGACUACCUCUGAUGGUAUAUUAUUGACCGCAACUCAUCUGUAAUUGACAGAUUCAAAGGUGGUCUUUCAGCCCUUGAGUUCCUGACUGCACUACAGCAACACCCUACUUUGCUGACCCCUGUCCUGUGCCACUUUGAAAAGCAGCUCACCGGCUUUGAACUUGAGACACUCUUCAAACCUAAACUCAGCCCUUCAGGAAGUAAUAGGAGACUAAAAGAAAGUCUAACCUUGGCCUACUGGGCAGACUAUCUCCUUGAUUGUGAAGAAGGAGAGGCUGCAGUAUCUGUGGAGAACAUUUGGAUGUUUGCAAAUGGCCUGACAUCACUUCCCCCAUCUGGCUUGGAACCAUUGCCACAAAUAGAGUUCCUGGAUGACUCCCCAUUCCCAAUGGCAAACACAUGUUCAAACUUGUUGAAAUUACCACUCCUGGAUUCAUACAGUGUGUUUAAAUCACAAAUGGACUUUGGAAUUCAAAAUAGUCCAGGAUUUGGUUGUUUGUAAACCAUAUGGCUGGAUAAUCCCUAGAGAGCAGGGGUCAGCAACCUUUUCAAUUUCAUGAGC